CUGAUGCAGCGACGCCGCGUGAGGGAUGACGGCCUUCGGGUUGUAAACCUCUUUCAGCAGGGAAGAAGGCUUCGGUUGACGGUACCUGCAGAAGAAGCGCCGGCUAACUACGUGCCAGCAGCCGCGGUAAUACGUAGGGCGCAAGCGUUGUCCGGAAUUAUUGGGCGUAAAGAGCUCGUAGGCGGUCUGUCGCGUCUGGUGUGAAAACCCGAGGCUCAACCUCGGGCUUGCAUCGGGUACGGGCAGACUAGAGUGCGGUAGGGGAGACUGGAAUUCCUGGUGUAGCGGUGGAAUGCGCAGAUAUCAGGAGGAACACCGAUGGCGAAGGCAGGUCUCUGGGCCGCAACUGACGCUGAGGAGCGAAAGCAUGGGGAGCGAACAGGAUUAGAUACCCUGGUAGUCCAUGCCGUAAACGUUGGGCACUAGGUGUGGGGCUCAUUCCACGAGUUCCGUGCCGCAGCUAACGCAUUAAGUGCCCCGCCUGGGGAGUACGGCCGCAAGGCUAAAACUCAAAGGAAUUGACGGGGGCCCGCACAAGCGGCGGAGCAUGCGGAUUAAUUCGAUGCAACGCGAAGAACCUUACCAAGGCUUGACAUGCACCGGACGCUGCCAGAGAUGGUGGUUCCGCAAGGUCGGUGCACAGGUGGUGCAUGCUUGUCGUCAGCUCGUGUCGUGAGAUGUUGGGUUAAGUCCCGCAACGAGCGCAACCCUCGUCCCAUGUUGCCAGCGGGUUAUGCCGGGGACUCAUGGGAGACUGCCGGGGUCAACUCGGAGGAAGGCGG
rnacentral:rRNA from 1 species